GACAUUUCUAAAGGGAAAAAAAUCCCACAAAGUGCACUUGAAAAGCUCACACAAGAAGGCUAACCUAGCUUACCUUGAGAAGGUAAGGGAGCACACUCAACCCUCAUCCUCAGAAACAGACGCUAACCCCAGGCAAGGCAGCGUGAUGCAUCCCGAGACAACAGGACUGGGAUAUCUACAUAACUGUGUGAGUCAAUUGCCUUCAAAAAGUUUAUCAAUUCACUUGAACCAAAAUUAUGAACACCCGGUGCUGCAAGAGUUAAUAGUCUCAUUGGGGCCAAGAUAUACAUGUUAUAGUUGCCUGGUAUCAAUGGUUGUUCAUCUGCCCUUAUUUAUUUAUUUAUUUAAAGAACCCAUAGGUGGGAAUGUGAGUUGUCUGUCUCUGCGUGUUAGCCCUGCGACAGACAGGCGACCUGUCCAGGGUGCAGGGUAUGGUAGCUGGAAUAGCAACAUACCCAAGGAUAAGCAGAAGAGAAUGACUGCUAUGAUGAAACUGGGAUUUUGUUACACUUAAUUAUUGCAAACACAACUAAAACUAACUGAAACUAAUCAAAACUAAACUGAAACUCAGAUUUUCAAAAAAAUAAAAACUAAACUAAAUUGGCAAACAAUUGGUAAAUACUAAUUAAAACUGAUAUAAAAUUGAAAAUCUGAAGUAAAAAAUAAAUAAAAAUAAAAACUAAUGAAAAUUGCAAAACUAGUAAAACCCUGGUGGGGACAGAGCAUCUCCUUGGUAGAUCCCGCCUUCUUGUAAUCAAUCCAGGCAGUGCACAGGUUGGUCAGUCUGGUCCUGCAGUCUCGGCUGACUGCUUGGUCUGCCAGUAGCUGGUGUUUUGCGCCUCUGGUAUUCUUGCCCAUCCCUUUCUGUGCCCCGCUCACGUAUUGACCCAUGUGCCUGUUCAUCUCAGCCACUAUGAUGCCUGACAGGAGCUUCCACGUGUAUAUGUUCCCUUCGGUCCUUGUCGUGUCAUUGAUGUUGUCUACGCCAUACCUGUUUCCAGUCCAGCCAGGUUAGUCAGCUAUUUCAGUUCAGUCAGUCCUCCGUUUCAUGUCCUGUUUAUCUGCUCAUCAUAAUAAACUCUAGCUUUCACCUAUCUGAGUCCAGCGUUUGGGUCCUCUUUUCCUCGCAUCCACACACGAUACAAGCCCUGACAAUAUAAUUCUUGCUUAUUAUUAUUAUUAUUAUUAUUAUUAUUAUUU
ensembl:lncRNA